rnacentral:rRNA from 1 species
UGGAGAGUUUGAUCCUGGCUCAGGACGAACGCUGGCGGCGUGCUUAACACAUGCAAGUCGAACGGAAAGGCCCUUUCGGGGGUGCUCGAGUGGCGAACGGGUGAGUAACACGUGGGUGAUCUGCCCUGCACUUUGGGAUAAGCCUGGGAAACUGGGUCUAAUACCGAAUAGGACCAUGGGAUGCAUGUCUUGUGGUGGAAAGCUUUUGCGGUGUGGGAUGGGCCCGCGGCCUAUCAGCUUGUUGGUGGGGUGAUGGCCUACCAAGGCGACGACGGGUAGCCGGCCUGAGAGGGUGUCCGGCCACACUGGGACUGAGAUACGGCCCAGACUCCUACGGGAGGCAGCAGUGGGGAAUAUUGCACAAUGGGCGCAAGCCUGAUGCAGCGACGCCGCGUGGGGGAUGACGGCCUUCGGGUUGUAAACCCCUUUCAGUACCGACGAAGCGUGAGUGACGGUAGGUACAGAAGAAGCACCGGCCAACUACGUGCCAGCAGCCGCGGUA